UCGCCCAUUAAAGCGGUACGCGAGCUGGGUUCAGAACGUCGUGAGACAGUUCGGUCCCUAUCCGUCGUGGGCGUAGGAAAUUUGAGAGGAGCUGUCCUUAGUACGAGAGGACCGGGAUGGACGCACCGCUGGUGUACCAGUUGUUCUGCCAAGGGCAUAGCUGGGUAGCUAUGUGCGGAAGGGAUAAGUGCUGAAAGCAUCUAAGCAUGAAGCCCCCCUCAAGAUGAGAUUUCCCAUAGCGUAAGCUAGUAAGAUCCCUGAAAGAUGAUCAGGUUGAUAGGUUCGAGGUGGAAG
rnacentral:rRNA from 1 species